AGACGUCAUCCUGAAUGGGUCUAAAAUCGACUGUCGUCUAUGUUCAGAUAUUUUAUUUGCAUAUCUAUUCAUUGAUAUCUGUAGUACAUUAGGAGACACGCACGUUUGCAACACGGUUGUUGAUUGUUGACAGAGACAGCCGUCAAGAGAGUCUAUAGAGACUGCCAAGAGAGAAGCUUGCUAACAACAGGUUGAUUUACAAUACAGUUACCGCCGGUAUUUAUAAAUGUACAGUAGAGUACCCUAUGAAGUCUAUCAGGCAUUCAACAAAGAGAUUUACAGGCGGUGUUCUGUUGCCAUGGCCGCGUGAUUCUGAGCAUUCCAUGGGCAGAUCUAUCUACUGCCUUCAACACCAUGAACCAUCAGAUCCUCC